rnacentral:rRNA from 1 species
UAAGGAAUAUUGGACAAUGGGCGAAAGCCUGAUCCAGCCAUGCCGCGUGAGUGAUGAAGGCCCUAGGGUUGUAAAGCUCUUUCACCCGCGAAGAUAAUGACGGUAGCGGGAGAAGAAGCCCCGGCCAACUCCGUGCCAGCAGCCGCGGUAAUACGGAGGGGGCUAGCGUUGUUCGGAAUUACUGGGCGUAAAGCGCGCGUAGGCGGAAAGUUAAGUCGGAGGUGAAAUCCCGGGGCUCAACCUCGGAACUGCCUUCGAUACUGGCUUUCUUGAGUCCGGGAGAGGUGAGUGGAAUUCCGAGUGUAGAGGUGGAAUUCGUAGAUAUUCGGAGGAACACCAGUGGCGAAGGCGGCUCACUGGCCCGGUACUGACGCUGAGGCGCGAAAGCGUGGGGAGCAAACAGGAUUAGAUACCCCCGUAGUCC